GAUGAACGCUAGCGGCAGGCUUAACACAUGCAAGUCGAGGGGUAUGGUUYUUCGGAGCCAGAGACCGGCGCACGGGUGCGUAACGCGUAUGCAAUCUACCUUUUACAGAGGGAUAGCCCAGAGAAAUUUGGAUUAAUACCUCAUAGUAUUACGACUCGGCAUCGAGAUGUAAUUAAAGUUCCAACGGUAAAAGAUGAGCAUGCGUCCCAUUAGCUAGAUGGUAAGGUAACGGCUUACCAUGGCUACGAUGGGUAGGGGUCCUGAGAGGGAGAUCCCCCACACUGGUACUGAGACACGGACCAGACUCCUACGGGAGGCAGCAGUGAGGAAUAUUGGACAAUGGGCGCAAGCCUGAUCCAGCCAUGCCGCGUGCAGGAUGACGGUCCUAUGGAUUGUAAACUGCUUUUGUA
rnacentral:rRNA from 1 species